AGCAGCCGCGGUAAUUCCAGCUCCAAUAGCGUAUAUUAAAGUUGUUGCAGCUAAAAAGCUCGUAGUUGAAUUUCGGGGUUUAUCCGUUGGUCGGGCUUUUGGGUCUGUACUGGCGUGAUGGAUUCCUACCUUCUGAAUAACCAGCAUGCCAUUAAUUUGGUGCGCUGGGGAAGCAGGACUGUUACCUUGAAAAAAUUAGAGUGCUUAAAGCAGGCUAUUGCCCGAAUACAUUAGCAUGGAAUAAUGAAAUAGGACGUAUGGUUCUAUUUUGUUGGUUUCUAGGAUCACCGUAAUGAUUAAUAGGGAUAGUUGGGGGCAUUAGUAUUCAAUUGUCAGAGGUGAAAUUCUUGGAUUUAUUGAAGACUAACUACUGCGAAAGCAUUUGCCAAGGAUGUUUUCAUUAAUCAAGAACGAAAGUUAGGGGAUCGAAGACGAUCAGAUACCGUCGUA
rnacentral:rRNA from 1 species